CCUACGGGGGACAGCAGUAGGGAAUCUUUCACAAUGGGCGAAAGCCUGAUGGAGCAACGCCGCGUGCAGGAUGAAGGCCUUCGGGUUGUAAACUGCUUUUAUAAGCGAGAAAUAUGAUGGUAACUUAUGAAUAAGGAUCGGCUAACUACGUGCCAGCAGCCGCGGUCAUACGUAGGAUCCGAGCAUUAUCCGGAGUGACUGGGUGUAAAGAGUUGCGUAGGUGGCAUAAUAAGUAGCUAGUGAAAUCUGGUGGCUCAACCAUUCAGACUAUUAGCUAAACUGUUAAGCUCGAGACCGUUAGGGGUAACUGGAAUGUCUAGUGUAGGAGUGAAAUCCGUAGAUAUUAGAAGGAACACCAAUAGCGUAGGCAGGUUGCUGGGACGGUUCUGACACUAAGGCACGAAAGCGUAGGGAGCAAACGGGAUUAGAUACCCUAGUAGUC
rnacentral:rRNA from 1 species